GAGAGAUUCUGACUAGACUGGGAGUGACCGAUACCGUGAGGGCACACCGCUUCCACCAGUGGUCCUACAGACCGGGACAACCCCCCCGAACACAGAUGUUCGACUUGAUUCACCUGGCACAGAAAUGGUUGCGACCGGAGACCCGUUCGUCCGCCGAGGUCGUCGAGACCAUCAUACUCAACCAGUUUCAGCGAGGUCUACCCCAAGAAGUGCGACGAUGGGUUGGCCAGAACGAUGUACUUUCCGCCGACCAUCUCGUGGGCCUGGUUGAAUGGUAUUGUACGGCAGGAACAGCUGAGCAGGCGCAGGAGGAAAGAUUCCCAUUCCCCAGGCCUGGGCGAACCAGCGGACAGGGUAAGACUGUCCCAACAGGUGGAGGGGGAGGAGAGCAGCGUGGGGCCAUGAGGAAAGAAUCAGAAUCGGGCCGAGACACUAAGGGAAAAAACAGAAACCGGGACUGGGGGUUGAGGGGGUCUCUCCCCCGAAACCCUAUUAUCUGUUACAAUUGUAAUCGACCGGGACAUAUUGCAGCCUACUGCCCUAUUAAAGAAGAGCCAAUCCAAUGUAACCUCGGUGAAAAAGAUGAGAUAUGGUAUGCAUGUCCCGUGGUAACCACUGUACUUGAAAGAUCAAGAAACAAACAUAUGUGCAGGGUGAAGGUUGAAGGGAAAGAGGUUGAAACACUACUGGAUUCCGGCAGUAUGCUAACCCUGGUCGUUGCAAACCUAGUGCCGACGCAUAAACUGGAUACAAGUCAGGAUAUCUGUGUUACGUGCAUUCAUGGGGAUACCCGUCUGUACCCCACAGCCUUAGUGAGCAUACAAACAGAGGACGGUCUGCUGGAUUAUGAGGUCGGCGUGGUCCCAAAGAUGCCAUAUGAUGUAAUAUUGGGUAGAUACUUUCCUAACUUUGCGAAGUUAGGCCAAAAGAAUGGCAUAUUUGAGAAGCCAACAACCCUGACCAAGCAGGAAGAAGCAUGGGGCCUUCAACCAAGGCCAAAAAAAGAGGUCUCCCAGGGGCCAACCUCACAGGUACUAGUAGGGGAGGAUGAGGAUGAAGUGGCAAACCUUGUUGAUAAUGAACAGCCCAGUACUAGUGGGGCUGGGGUCGAUCUGAAUCCAGAGGAUGACUAUCUAGAACCAGCAGAUCUGGCAGGGUCCAUGACUAAUUUCGGGACGGCCCAACACCAGGAUCCAACCCUGCAGCAAGCCAGAGCAGACGUGCAGGUCGUAGAUGGUACUCCCAUAAAUGAUAGGAUGAUGCCUAAUAGUUUUCCCCACUUCAUCAUGAAAAAUGGUUUGGUGUACAGAGUCUCAAAAAUAGGGGUUGAUGUGGUGGAACAGUUGUUGGUCCCCACCCGGUACAGGAAGACAGUACUGGAUCUAGCUCAUGGGCACAUUCUGGGUGGACACCUUGGUAU
rnacentral:lncRNA from 8 species